rnacentral:rRNA from 1 species
AAAAGUCGUAACAAGGUUUCCGUAGGUGAACCUGCGGAAGGAUCAUUAUUGUAUAACCGAGGUGCGAGGGCUGUCGCUGACCCGAAAGGUCGUGCACGCCCGAGUGCCCUCACACACAUCCAUCUCACCCCUAUGUGCACCACCGCGUGGGUCCCCCUUUGGCUUGUUCGGAGGGGGGCUUACGUUUUCACACAAACUUUGUAUGCAGUGUAGAAUGUAUUUUUUGUUUUUGCGAUCACGCAAUCAAUACAACUUUCAACAACGGAUCUCUUGGCUCUCGCAUCGAUGAAGAACGCAGCGAAAUGCGAUACGUAAUGUGAAUUGCAGAAUUCAGUGAAUCAUCGAAUCUUUGAACGCACCUUGCGCCCCUUGGCAUUCCGAGGGGCACACCCGUUUGAGUGUCGUGAAAUUCUCAAAUUCCUUUUUCUUUUUGGGAAAGGGUUUUUGGACUUGGAGGCUUUUUGCUGGCUUCACCUUGAAGUGAGCUCCUCCUAAAUGAAUCAGUGGGGUCCGCUUUGCCGAUCCUUGACGUGAUAAGAUGUUUCUGCGUCUUUGGGUUUGGCACUGUCACCUGCUUCUAACUGUCUCAUUGACAAUGAUGGUGCUCCGGUCACCACCGCUCUUAUCGGUGGGAGGCUUGACCCACAAAAACAAAACCUUGACCUCAAAUCGGGUGAGACUACCCGCUGAACUUAAGCAUAUCAAUAAGCGGAGGA